rnacentral:rRNA from 1 species
GACGAACGCUGGCGGCGUGCUUAACACAUGCAAGUCGAACGGUGAAGCGCCUUCCUUUUUGGUGGGUGUGGAUGAGUGGCGAACGGGUGAGUAACACGUGAGUAACCUGCCCCCUUCUUCUGGAUAACCGCUUGAAAGUGUGGCUAAUACGGGAUAUUCUGGGUCUGUCGCAUGAUGGGUCUGGGAAAGAUAUUGUUUCGGUGGGGGAUGGGCUCGCGGCCUAUCAGCUUGUUGGUGGGGUGAUGGCCUACCAAGGCGGUGACGGGUAGCCGGCCUGAGAGGGUGGACGGUCACACUGGGACUGAGACACGGCCCAGACUCCUACGGGAGGCAGCAGUGGGGAAUAUUGCACAAUGGGCGCAAGCCUGAUGCAGCGACGCCGCGUGAGGGAUGGAGGCCUUCGGGUUGUGAACCUCUUUCGCCAGUGAAGCAGGCCUGCCUCGUUUGUGGGUGGGUUGACGGUAGCUGGAUAAGAAGCGCCGGCUAACUACGUG